rnacentral:rRNA from 1 species
GGUAUGGUAGGAGAGCGUUCUAUGUGUGAUGAAGGUGUACCGUGAGGAGCGCUGGAACGCAUAGAAGUGAGAAUGCCGGUAUGAGUAGCGAAAGACAGGUGAGAAUCCUGUCCACCGUAUGACUAAGGUUUCCAGGGGAAGGCUCGUCCUCCCUGGGUUAGUCGGGACCUAAGGAGAGACCGAAAGGUGUAUCCGAUGGACAACAGGUUGAUAUUCCUGUACUAGAGUAUAUAGUGAUGGAGGGACGCAGUAGGCUAACUAAAGCGUGCGAUUGGAAGUGCACGUCUAAGCAGUGAGGUGUGAUGUGAGUCAAAUGCUUACGUCUAUAACAUUGAGCUGUGAUGGGGAGCGAAUUUAAGUAGCGAAGUUAGUGAUGUCACACUGCCAAGAAAAGCUUCUAGCGUUAAUUAUACUCUACCCGUACCGCAAACCGACACAGGUAGUCGAGGCGAGUAGCCUCAGGUGAGCGAGAGAACUCUCGUUAAGGAACUCGGCAAAAUGGCCCCGUAACUUCGGGAGAAGGGGCGCUGGCUUUAAGUCAGCCGCAGUGAAUAGGCCCAAGCAACUGUUUAUCAAAAACACAGCUCUCUGCUAAAUCGUAAGAUGAUGUAUAGGGGGUGACGCCUGCCCGGUGCUGGAAGGUUAAGAGGAGCGCUUAGCAUUAGCGAAGGUGUGAAUUGAAGCCCCAGUAAACGGCGGCCGUAACUAUAACGGUCCUAAGGUAGCGAAAUUCCUUGUCGGGUAAGUUCCGACCCGCACGAAAGGCGUAAUGAUUUGGGCACUGUCUCAACGAGAGACUCGGUGAAAUUUUAGUACCUGUGAAGAUGCAGGUUACCCGCGACAGGACGGAAAGACCCCAUGGAGCUUUACUGCAGUUUGAUAUUGAGUAUCUGUACCACAUGUACAGGAUAGGUAGGAGCCUAUGACCUCGGGACGCCAGUUUCGAGUGAGGCGUUGUUGGGAUACUACCCUUGUGUUAUGGCUACUCUAACCCAGAUAGGUUAUCCCUAUCGGGGACAGUGUCUGACGGGCAGUUUGACUGGGGCGGUCGCCUCCUAAAAGGUAACGGAGGCGCCCAAAGGUUCCCUCAGAAUGGUUGGAAAUCAUUCGCAGAGUGUAAAGGUAUAAGGGAGCUUGACUGCGAGAGCUACAACUCGAGCAGGGACGAAAGUCGGGCUUAGUGAUCCGGUGGUUCCACAUGGAAGGGCCAUCGCUCAACGGAUAAAAGCUACCCUGGGGAUAACAGGCUUAUCUCCCCCAAGAGUUCACAUCGACGGGGAGGUUUGGCACCUCGAUGUCGGCUCGUCGCAUCCUGGGGCUGUAGUCGGNNNNNNNNNAGAAGCCGGGACGCUAGUUUCGGUGGAGGCGUUGUUGGGAUACUACCCUUGUGUUAUGGCUACUCUAACCCAGAUAGGUGAUCCCUAUCGGAGACAGUGUCUGACGGGCAGUUUGACUGGGGCGGUCGCCUCCUAAAAGGUAACGGAGGCGCCCAAAGGUUCCCUCAGAAUGGUUGGAAAUCAUUCGCAGAGUGUAAAGGUAUAAGGGAGCUUGACUGCGAGAGCUACAACUCGAGCAGGGACGAAAGUCGGGCUUAGUGAUCCGGUGGUUCCGUAUGGAAGGGCCAUCGCUCAACGGAUAAAAGCUACCCUGGGGAUAACAGGCUUAUCUCC